GAGUGGCGGACGGGUGCGCAACGCGUACUCGGCAACCCGACCCCGACCCGGGGCAUAGCCGGUGGGAAAACGCCGGGGUAAUGCGCCAUGAGCACGUCCUGGGGCAUCCCAGGGAGUGCAAAGCGAGAGCGGGACGGGACGGGCAUGCGUCCCAUUAGCUGUUGGCGGGGUGAAGGCCCACCAAGGCGACGAUGGGUAGGGGAUCUGAGAGGACGGUCCCCCACACUGGUACUGAGACACGGACCCAGACUCCUGCGGGAGGCAGCAGUAAGGGAUAUUGGUCAAUGGCCGGAAGGCUGAACCAGCCAUGCCGCGUGAGGUAGGAAGGCCCUACGGGUCGUAAGCCUCUUUUGUCCAGGGACAAUGGCACCCACGCGAUGGGUGUUUGAGGGUACUGGAAGAAUAAGCGUCGGCUAACUCCGUGCC
rnacentral:rRNA from 1 species